rnacentral:rRNA from 1 species
UACGAAGGGGGCUAGCGUUGUCCGGAUUUACUGGGCGUAAAGAGCGCGCAGGCGGUCGAUCAAGUCGAGUGUGAAAGCCCCCGGCUCAACUGGGGAGGGGCAUUCGAUACUGAUCGACUCGAAGGCAGGAGAGGGGAGUGGAAUUCCCGGUGUAGUGGUGAAAUGCGUAGAUAUCGGGAGGAACACCAGUGGCGAAGGCGACUACCUGGCCUGAUCUUGACGCUGAGGCGCGAAAGCUAGGGGAGCAAACGGG